GAUGAACGCUGGCGGCGUGCUUAACACAUGCCAGUCGAACGGAAAGGCUCCUGCUUGCAGGGGUACUCGAGUGGCGAACGGGUGAGUAACACGUGGGUGAUCUGCCCUGCACUUCGGGAUAAGCCUGGGAAACUGGGUCUAAUACCGGAUAGGACCACAUUUUGGAUGGUGUGGUGGAAAGUUUUUCGGUGUGGGAUGAGCUCGCGGCCUAUCAGCUUGUUGGUGGGGUAAUGGCCUACCAAGGCGUCGACGGGUAGCCGGCCUGAGAGGGUGUACGGCCACAUUGGGACUGAGAUACGGCCCAGACUCCUACGGGAGGCAGCAGUGGGGAAUAUUGCACAAUGGGCGCAAGCCUGAUGCAGCGACGCCGCGUGGGGGAUGACGGCCUUCGGGUUGUAAACUCCUUUCGCUAGGGACGAAGCGCAGGUGACGGUACCUGGAGAAGAAGCACCGGCUAACUACGUG
rnacentral:rRNA from 1 species